GGCGACGGGUGAGUAACACGUGAGAAUUUACCUUUAGAGGGGGAUAACAAUUGGAAACGAUUGCUAAUACCCCAUAUGCUUUUGAGUGAAAUGGAUUUAUAUUUAUCCGCCUAGAGAGAAGCUCGCGGCUGAUUAGCUUGUUGGUAAGGUAUGAGCUUACCAAGGCGACGAUCAGUAUCUGGUUUGAGAGGACGAUCAGACACACUGGAACUGAGACACGGUCCAG
rnacentral:rRNA from 1 species